rnacentral:rRNA from 2 species
UACCUUUUGUAUAAUGGGUCAGCGACUUAUAUUCUGUAGCAAGGUUAACCGCAUAGGGGAGCCGGAGGGAAACCGAGUCUUAAUUGGGCGUUAAGUUGCAGGGUAUAGACCCGAAACCCGGUGAUCUAGCCAUGGGCAGGUUGAAGGUUGGGUAACACUAACUGGAGGACCGAACCGACUAAUGUUGAAAAAUUAGCGGAUGACCUGUGGCUGGGGGUGAAAGGCCAAUCAAACCGGGAGAUAGCUGGUUCUCCCCGAAAGCUAUUUAGGUAGCGCCUCGUGAAUUCAUCUCCGGGGGUAGAGCACUGUUUCGGCUAGGGGGCCAUCCCGGCUUACCAACCCGAUGCAAACUGCGAAUACCGGAGAAUGUUAUCACGGGAGACACACGGCGGGUGCUAACGUCCGUCGUGAAGAGGGAAACAACCCAGACCGCCAGCUAAGGUCCCAAAGUCAUGGUUAAGUGGGAAACGAUGUGGGAAGGCCCAGACAGCCAGGAUGUUGGCUUAGAAGCAGCCAUCAUUUAAAGAAAGCGUAAUAGCUCACUGGUCGAGUCGGCCUGCGCGGAAGAUGUAACGGGGCUAAACCAU